UUUAAGGUCUAACCUGCCCAAUGAGGGUUUAAAUGGCCGCAGUAUUUUGACUGUGCAAAGGUAGCAUAAUUAUUAGUUUUUUAAUUGAAAGCUUGUAUGAAGGGUUGGACGAGAUAAAAUCUGUCUUUAUUUAAGUUACAGUAGAAUUUAACUUUUAAGUCAAAAGGCUUAAAUGUAUAUAAAAGACGAGAAGACCCUAUAGAUCUUUAUUUAAUUAAUAUUUUGAUAAUUUAGGAUUAUUUUAAUUUAAAGUUUUAAUUAAAUUUUAUUGGGGUAAUAUAAAGAUUAAAGUAAUUCUUUUUGUUAUAUACAUUGAUUUAUGAAUAUAUGAUCCAGUAUUGCUGAUUAUAAGAUUAAGUUACCUUAGGGAUAACAGCGUAAUUUUUUUGGAGAGCUCGUAUCGAUAAAAAAGUUUGCGACCUCGAUGUUGGAUUAAAAAUUAGCUUGGGUGCAGAAGCUCAAGAAUUUGGUCUGUUCGACCAUUAAAUUUUUACAUGAUCUGAGUUCAGACCGGCGUAAGCCAGGUCGGUUUCUAUCUUUAUUUAAUUAAAAUAUUUUAGUACGAAAGGACCAAAUAUUUAAUAUAGUUAUAUUUAUUUAUUUGAAUAAUAUU
rnacentral:rRNA from 1 species